rnacentral:rRNA from 1 species
CCAAUAGCGUAUAUUAAAGUUGUUGCAGUUAAAAAGCUCGUAGUUGAAUUUCGGGGCCAGUAAGUUGGUCGUGCCACUGGUAUGUACUGGCUUUACUGGUCUCUCCUUCUUGAAGAACCGUGAUGCCAUUAAUUUGGUGUUGCGGGGAAACAGGACUGUUACUUUGAAAAAAUUAGAGUGCUUAAAGCAGGCUUACGCUUGAAUACAUUAGCAUGGAAUAACGUAAUAGGACGCUCGAUUCUAUUUUGUUGGUUUCUAGGAUCGACGUAAUGAUUAAUAGGGAUAGUUGGGGGCAUUAGUAUUCAAUUGUCAGAGGUGAAAUUCUUGGAUUUAUUGAAGACUAACUACUGCGAAAGCAUUUGCCAAGGAUGUUUUCAUUAAUCAAGAACGAAAGUUAGGGGAUCGAAGACGAUCAGAUACCGUCGUAGUCUUAACCAUAAACUAUGCCGACUAGGGAUCGGAUGAAGUUAAUUUUUUAAUGACUCAUUCGGCGCCUUACG